rnacentral:rRNA from 1 species
UCGGGAAUUUUGGGCAAUGGGCGAAAGCCUGACCCAGCAACGCCGCGUGAAGGAUGAAGUAUUUCGGUAUGUAAACUUCGAAAGAAUAGGAAGAAUAAAUGACGGUACUAUUUAUAAGGUCCGGCUAACUACGUGCCAGCAGCCGCGGUAAUACGUAGGGACCAAGCGUUGUUCGGAUUUACUGGGCGUAAAGGGCGCGUAGGCGGCAAUUCAAGUCAUCUGUGAAAUCUCCGGGCUUAACUCGGAACGGUCAGAUGAUACUGCUUUGCUAGAGUGCAGAAGGGGCAAUCGGAAUUCUUGGUGUAGCGGUGAAAUGCGUAGAUAUCAAGAGGAACACCUGAGGUGAAGACGGGUUGCUGGGCUGACACUGACGCUGG